GACUACCAAGGCGAACACCAACGUCAGGAGCUGCAUACAAUGACUCGCCCAAGGUCAAAAACAUUACAGUGGAGACAAGCCAGGCUUGCCAGCGGCAGAGGAUCUGUCUUCUCAGGUGCUGCCCCUUCCGGAGCCUCAGGGAGCGGCCAAGGGAUGCGGGUCUGCAGAGAGCAUCCGACCUCCUUCUGCAGGCCCACUCCUGACCACCGCGGGCGCGGCCAGCUCCUACGCCCACCCUCAGCUAGGGCCCCACCCCCGAGGCCAAGACCCCUGCGCGGGAGACCCCACAAUAGGAAGUUUUCCCGGCUCGCACCCCACGCCAAGUCCACGGUCUCACGCACUAUGGCGGCCCGGCCCAGGACCCCGGCGGCGACACCACCCAGGCGAUGCCGCCGGACAUUCAGCCUUUCCCCGACCAGCAAGCCCCUCCUUCGGCCCAGACAGCGAGCACAGACGACUGCAGACUUCCUCCGCGAGCUCCGCCUCUUCGCUGCCAAGACGCACCCUCCCACCGGAGACGACGGACAGGCCCGUGAACCAAUCGAAGCACUCCGAACUGGAAGGGUCACGCGGACGGACAGACUCUGGAACCAAUCCGUACGCGAAGCGGGAGGGGGCGUGGCUCAGUGUCUUGAGAGCCACGCCCCGUCUGUGCUUUCGCCACCGCGGAGGAGGCGAAGGAAACUUUCCCAGAGUUCCUUAGAGCUCCCUGGGUCCCCGCGGGGGCCCAGGAGACAGCAGCGGGCGGGGAGGGGGCUGGGGUCGGCUGCGGAUUGGGUGAGGAUCGGGCGGAGCACAAGGACACCGUUCCAGCUCUGAGAGGCCCCAGAAACCCUUGCUGUUGUGAGCCUGGUCAGCCGAAGGAUGCGGCUGUCAGUCCGGCAGACAUCCUCAGGCCAGGGGUGGGCCAGCUAGGUUCCAGGGUGGUGGGCAGCGUGCUCUCGACUGCCUGUGCAGCUACCACCGGAGCAGCCCAGCAAACAUUCCCAGAAGCUGUCCGGUGGAGAGCAGACCACAUCUGGGAUGCGAGGCCAGAAGUCCCGCGUGCAGGACUUCGCGGUACACUGGCACCCUCCAUUCUGAUAGGUCUUCCGUUCCCAGUUCACUCGGGUGCAAGGGACAGCUCCAGGAUGUCAGGUGCACACAGCCUUACCCCAAGCCCUGGGAGCCCGAGGCCCCACCCUGACGAGUACGCGUGUGUGAUGCGCGGUAACCAGAAUGACCUACGAGUGUGCAUGUUGUCGCCUGAGGGGACACCAUUCUACAUUUGGAGACUGUGACUUCCAAACCAGGGCAAGAAGCAUUAAAGACGCUAGCGGAGAGAAUCUGGCUGGGGGCGGGCAGGGGGCGGUGCCGAGAGUCGGGGAAAAGGGUCACGUGGAGGAAGCGGAAGCGGAAGCGCCAGCCUUCUCUCACCUCCCAACCUAUCAUAGCACAGAUCUGCUCUAAGACUGAACCUGGGUCUUCCUCCUACUUUUGUCCAUCCUGGUCCAGGGCGAUGGCUCUGCCUGGGGAUCCGCGGCGCCUCUGCAGGCUGGUGCAAGAGGGCCGACUGCGUGACCUUCAGGAGGAACUGGCGGUAGCUAGAGGUUGCCGGGGGCCAGCCGGAGACACCCUUCUCCACUGUGCAGCACGCCACGGACGCCAGGAUAUCCUAGCGUACCUAGUGGAGGCUUGGAGUAUGGACAUCGAGGCUACCAACCGAGACUACAAGCGGCCUCUGCACGAAGCUGCCUCUAUGGGCCACCGGGACUGCGUGCGCUACCUCCUGGGCCGAGGUGCAGUCGUGGACUCCUUGAAGAAGGCGGACUGGACUCCUCUGAUGAUGGCGUGCACAAGGAAGAACCUUGAUGUGAUCCAGGACCUUGUAGAACACGGUGCCAAUCCACUCCUGAAGAACAAGGAUGGCUGGAACAGUUUCCACAUUGCCAGUAGAGAAGGCCACCCUGUGAUCCUCCGGUACUUGCUCACUGUCUGCCCUGAUGCUUGGAAAACAGAGAGCAACAUUAGAAGAACCCCUUUACACACUGCAGGUACCCCCUGCAAGCUCUGGAGUCUGUAGUGGCUUUGUGCAAGCACUGUCUACACUUUGUAGUUCAAGUUCCCUGCAGGGGAAUGGAGGAUUUGGGAAAGCAGAAGACAAGGCAUCAGAGCAUCUGUGCUCUCUUGGCGAACUAUAAGUUUCUGAAGUGGCAGAACCUUUGGCUGAUACAUCAUUGUGUUAGUCCACUUUUCCUGUGUGUCUAUCUUGCCUGCCAUUCCUGGUUCGUUAGACGAUAAGCUUGUCUGUUCCUUCUAAUGUCUGUGACCCUGGGUGAAGAACUUGCAAUGCACGGCUGUUUGGAAGCAGUCCAGGUGCUUCUUGAAAGGUAAGCACAAAACGGUAAGUUGGUGGAAAGUAUUUCUUAGUUAUAACAAGGAGCUAGUCUUCCUUUUAUGUAGAGAGCUCAGAGCCCGCAAGCAACAAGGCCUGCGUACCAAUGAGCGUUACAAGGAAUUCAGUGUCCCCCAUAGGAGUGUGUGGUAGGAGGACCCAGUAUAUAUUAAUAAAGACUCUAAAAGAGUAAAUGUCUCUGCACCAGCCAAGCCAAGGCUGUUCACCUGAGGAUAACGGCUGCAGAUGAGGGGCAAGGGAGCUUUGUGCAUGAAGACUGGAGGUAGUUCACAGUAUGCGGAAGUCUAAGCAUUAAAGAGAAUACAGUAGCUGUAGACUGUUGUGAAGUUCGCGUUUUAUUCUGAGCAUGUGAAGUACCAUUGAGGAGUUGAGUUGGUUGUUUGGUUUUGAGAAGGAUCUUGCUAUGUAGUCCUGGCUGCAGGAACUACAGAACUCAAAAUGUAGACCAGGCUGGCCUCAGACAUACAGAACGCUUAUCUGCUUCUGCCUUCCCAAUUCUGAUAUUAAAGGUAUGCACCACCAUGCCCAACCUUGUGGAAAGGGUGGGAUUUUCUUUUUUUGUUUGUUUGUUUGUUUGUUUGUUUUUUAGAUUUAUUUAUUUUCAUUUUCUGUUUAUGAAUGUUUUGCUUGCAUGCAUGCCUGGUGCCUGUGGAGGCCAGAGAUGAUGUCAGAGGGACUCAAACCCCAGUCCUCUGAAAGAGCAACAGUAUUAUCACUGCUGAGUUAUCUCUCUGGCCCCUUGUUGAAGGGUUUUUAAGGCAAGGGCCGUAAGAAACCAGCAAUUUUCAAAGCUCACCUGGUUGUAAAACAUAACUGAACCUGGGAUGAGAACAGGUUUCUGUGGGACCGUCUCUUAGGUCGAUGAAGUGAAGUAGAGAAAUGACGGUGGCUGGAUUGAAGGGCUGAGGGUGAACAGUGUGCUGGUUUGAAUAAGAAUGGCCCCAUGUAUUUGAAUGCUUAGUCACCGGGAGUAGCACUAUUUGAAAAGAUUAGAAGGAUUAAGAUCAGUGGCCUUGUUAGAGGAAGUGUCACUGGGGGUGGGAUUCGAGGUUCUGAAAGCCCAUGCCAGGCCAAGAGGCUCUCUUGUCUGUGGAUCAGGAUGUAACUCUCCAGGGCCUGCCUGUAUGCCACCAUGCUCCCUACCAUGACGACACUGGAUUAAGCCUCUGAAACUGUAAGUAAGCUCCAAACUAAAUGCUUUAUUUCAUAAAGAGUUACCUUUAUAGCAAAAGAGCAGAGACUAAGGCCAGAAACAAGAGGUGGCUUGAGGGUAUCUUUUAGAAGUCGAAUCAAUAGCAAAAGCUAAAGUAAUUUGAUAGAGGGACCUGAGAGGGCCUCAGGACGUGGCUCAGUGGUACAGGUAGCAUGCUUGCCUAGCAUAUUUAAGGCCUUGGCUUCCAUCCCUGGAACCAUAGAAAGUAAAUGAAGGAGGGGCAAGGGAACAAGAGUGACUUUUACAGUGUGGUUCAUGUGCUACUUGCUGAGACACUGAGAGAGGAGCAGGGUUGAGGGAAGCAUAAACAUUUCACCUUGGGACAAGCAGAGUAGUUUUAUCUCUGUGGGAGGAAGACGAUGGCUAAAUAGUUCCUUGGAACCCUGGAAUUAAAAAAGCUACAUGCAGUGGUCCACAUCUGUAAUUCCAGCCCUCCAGAGACUGAGGCAAGAAAAGCAUGAGUUCCAGGCCAGGCUGGACGGCACAGCAGGAUGACUCUGAUUGCUUGGGAGGGGUGGGGGCAUGACAGGGUGAUGCUAAGAAGAACUUCAGGAGGCAGUAGACCUGUGCCUAAGUGUGAAAGCAGAGAGGGAGAGGAGGAGACAUGUUAAUAGUCUGGCUUCAGAGUUACGUUAUGUAAUUGGAAAAGAGACUUAGGUUAGGGUGACUAUAGAAGCACCAAGCUGAGAAGCUGAUGAAAGGAGGGCUCUUACAGACAUGGUAGAGGUUGAAGAAGAAGGUCCCUAAGUCCCGGAGCUCGGUUCAGAGGCUGUCACAGAUCAUCCGUGAGGCACACAAUCUGCCCAUAGACCAUCAUGUCACCUGUCUUGGGUUUGAAGUGGUGACUGUUUACAGCUCUGUCGUUUUUGGAUUUGGCUAUAGGUGUCACUAUGAACCAGACUGUCGAGACAACUGUGGUGUCACGCCCUUCAUGGAUGCAAUUCAGUGUGGCCAUGUUAGUAUAGCCAAGCUGCUCCUUGAACAGCAUAAGGCUUGCUCUUCAGCUGCAGAUAGCAUGGGGGCCCAGGCUCUACACCGCGCAGCAGUCACUGGGCAGGAUGAAGCCAUACGGUUCCUGGUAUGCGGUCUUGGCAUCGAUGUAGAUGUAAGAGCAAAGUCAAGCCAGCUCACAGCACUUCACUAUGCAGCAAAGAGUUCCAACACCCACAUCAGGCAACUCACAACUAUCUAUAACUCCAGCUCCAGAGGAUCUGUGGUGUCACACCCUUCAUGGAUACACUUCAGUUCAGCCACGUUUGCAUAGCGUAAGCUCUUCCUUGGAAAACAUGAGGAAGGACAGACGAAUACAGUUCAAACUCUGUUGUCCUUGGGUGCCGACAUCAACUCUACAGAUGAAAGAAAUCGCUCAGUCCUGCAUCUGGCCUGCGCAGGUCAGCAUGUGGCUUGCACCAGGCUCCUCCUACAGUCGGGACUGAAGGAUUCCGAAGACCUCACAGGCACCUUGGCCCAGCAGCUCACGAGAAGCGUAGAUAUCCUUCAGGACUUUGACCAUGACGUGAAAUCGUAGGAUGCUUGAAGAAGGAGGCGAUGGAGUUCAAGGCCGUUCAUAUUCUGCUCCUUCUGUUGCUGAGAGACAGGGUAUCGAGUUCCUUCUCGGCCAGCGUUUUCAUCUCCUCCUGCUGCCUUUCCUUCUGCAUGCUCUUCGGUCGAAUGACCAGGAGUCUGGAUUCCUGGCAUGUUGUGUGAUCUUGAACGUAGCCAUUUGUUUUUUCAUUUUUAAACUGUAAUGAGGGUUAAACUGAGAACUUUCACACACUCAGCAAGUGCUAUGCCACUGAAGCACAUCACCAGCCCCGGAUCUUGGCUUUUCUACGCUGCAAGGAGAAUCAGGUUAAACAUAGAGGUUUGUGUAUCCUUAGGGAGUGAAUGUAAUAUAUGUGUCUUUAAAUAUAUAAAAAUCUAAUAAAACAAUAUAAACUGAUGUUUAUUCAAGCUCUAAAA